rnacentral:rRNA from 1 species
GACGAACGCUGGCGGCGUGCUUAACACAUGCAAGUCGAACGAAGUGGCGAACGGGUGAGUAACGUGUAAUCAACCUGCCCUUCAGAGGGGGACAACAGUUGGAAACGACUGCUAAUACCGCAUACUGAAGGAGGGGAUUGCGUCUGAUUAGCUAGUUGGAGGGGUAACGGCCCACCAAGGCGAAGAUCAGUAGCCGGGCUGGGAGGGUGAACGGCCACAUUGGGACUGGGACACGGGCCAGACUCCCUCCGGAGGCAACAGUGGGGAAUCUUCCGCAAUGGGCGAAAGGCUGGCGGAGCAAAGCCGCGGUGGGGAUGACAGCCUUCGGGUUGGAAAGCUCUGUUAAUCGGGGCGCGGUACCGGAAUAGAAAGCCACGGCUAACUACGUGCCAGCAGCCGCGGUAAUAC